rnacentral:misc_RNA from 1 species
GAUGAAGAAUGUAGCGAAAUGCGAUACUUGGUGUGAAUUGCAGAAUCCCGUGAACCAUCGAGUCUUUGAACGCAAGUUGCGCCCGAAGCCAUUAGGCCGAGGGCACGCCUGCCUGGGCGUCACACGUCGUUGCCCCCCCAUCUACUCCUUCGGGAUUGCGGGGGGCGGAUGAUGGCCUCCCGUGCGCCUCGUCGCGCGGUUGGCAUAAAUGCCAAGUCCUCGGCGACACACGCCACGACAAUCGGUGGUUGCGAAACCUCGGUUGCCCGUCGUGUGCGGUCGUCGCGCAUCGAGGGCUCGAAAAAAUUGCCGGGCUCCGGCUCGGCUUUCAACGCGACCCCAGGUCAGGCGGGGUUACCCGCUGAAUUUAAGCAUAUCAAUAAGCGGAGGA